rnacentral:rRNA from 1 species
AGCGCCGAGGCCUUCUUCGCGCAGGAGCUGGACGCGCUUUCGCGGCAGCGGCACCCGCACGUGCUGCGGCUGAUGGGCGCGUGCCUGCGCCCGCCGGAGAGCUGCUUCCUGGUGACGGAGCUCCUGAGCGGCGCCACGCUGGGGGAGUGGCUGCACGGGGGCAAGGAGCGCCGCAGGAAGGAGCUGCCGCCGUCGCGGCCGCUGGUGCAGAGGGUGAGCAGGGCGCUGGAGGUCGCGCUGGCGAUGCGGCACCUCCACGAGCAGACGCCGCGGGUGCUGCACCGGGACCUGAAGCCGAGCAACGUGCUGCUGGACGCCGACUCGCGCGCGCGGGUCGCGGACUUGGGCCACGCCAGGUUCCUGCCGGACGGCGCACAGGCGCUCACCGGCGAAACCGGGACGUACGUGUACAUGGCGCCCGAGGUGAUCCGCUGCGAGCCGUACACGGAGAAGUGCGACGUGUACAGCUUCGGCGUCAUGCUCAACGAGCUCGUCACCGGGGAGCACCCGUACAUAGACACGAGCUACGGGCCAAGCAAGAUUGCGUUGGAGGUAGCGGAUGGAAAACUGAGACCGAAGCUCCCGGAAAGCGACGCGGCUGCUGCUACCGGAGCCCUGGUUGAUCUCAUCUGCCGGGCGUGGGACGCGGAGCCUUCGAGGAGGCCUUCGUUUGCCGCCAUCACCGUGGCACUUCGAGGCAUCCAAGAGCAGCUGGUGUGA